rnacentral:rRNA from 1 species
AGAGAUCAUGGCUCAGAAUCAACGCUGGCGGCGUGCCUAACACAUGCAAGUCGAACGCGGUUACCCCGCAAGGGGUGACUGAGUGGCGAACGGGUGAGUAACACGUGGGUGAUCUACCUUCGAGUGGGGGAUAACGUCCCGAAAGGGACGCUAAUACCGCAUGACGUUCUGGGUUUGAAGACCUGGAAACCAAAGUCGGGGACCGCAAGGCCUGACGCUUGAAGAGGAGCCCGCGCCUGAUUAGCUAGUUGGUGAGGUAAUGGCUCACCAAGGCGACGAUCAGUAGCCGGCCUGAGAGGGCGGACGGCCACACUGGGACUGAGACACGGCCCAGACUCCUACGGGAGGCAGCAGUGGGGAAUUGUUCGCAAUGGGCGCAAGCCUGACGACGCAACGCCGCGUGGAGGAUGAAGGUCUUCGGAUUGUAAACUCCUGUUGAUCGGGAAGAAUAGCCCCUGGGUAAAUAGUCCGGGGGAAUGACGGUACCGAUUGGGGAAGCCACGGCUAACUCUGUGCCAGCAGCCGCGGUAAUACAGAGGUGGCAAGCGUUGUUCGGAAUUACUGGGCGUAAAGGGCGCGUAGGUGGCCUUGUUAGUCAGACGUGAAAUCCCCAAGCUUAACUUGGGAACUGCGUCUGAUACUGCAAGGCUUGAGUUCGGGAGAGGGAUGUGGAAUUCCAGGUGUAGCGGUGAAAUGCGUAGAUAUCUGGAGGAACACCGGUGGCGAAGGCGGCAUCCUGGACCGAAACUGACACUGAGGCGCGAAAGCUAGGGGAGCAAACGGGAUUAGAUACCCCGGUAGUCCUAGCCCUAAACGAUGAGUGCUUGGUGUGGCGGGUAUCGAUCCCUGCCGUGCCGAAGCUAACGCAUU